GUUUCUAUUGCCAGGAGGGCUCUGAGGUGCCCGUACCAUGUCCUGCCAAUACCAUUAGAAACAUCCCAGGGGCAAAGCAGAGAGAAGACUGCCUGCCCUGUCCGCCAGGCCACUGGUGCAAAGCAGGUUGGGACUGUGUGGGGAAUGGUGAGGACAGGGUAUGGGAGCUGUUUUUCAGGGGUGUAGUGCACGACCCUGGCUCUGGUCAGACUGGCUCCGGUAUCGAAUGUUGCAGUGUGGAACGGUUCUUGCAGUAGGACGCGUUGCCUCUACUGGUGAUUACCAGAGUCUGCGGAGAAAAGAGUCGCGUUAAAGCUCUUCGUACGAUACGCUUGCAUAACAAAGUUUGGAAACGUAGGAGAGCUUGAGAAUAAAGCCAGCCUCCAAAUAUCCCUGUGUCGCGUCUGUCAGAAGUGAGGCUUGGACUGUGAAGGUGGCUUGCACCCCUAUUUAUGGUAGCUUCGGAAGGACCCAGGGAGGAGGCAGAAGAAAGGGGUGCCAGUCACAGUGCAGAGACCCCUCAUGACAGCCCUGUUUUCUGUUUCUUAGGGGAUUCAGAGGCCUAUCCAUGUCCCUCAGGACACUAUUGCUUUGGAGGCAAUGAUACUGAUCACGGCAGUCUCCUGGCACCUCAGAAAUGCCCUCCACACACUUACCACAAGUACCCAGGAGCUCGGAGCCUGGCAGAUUGCCAGCCGUGCCCUCCAGGCUAUCUUUGCCCUUUAUCAGGUCUGACCAGUUUUGAAGACCAUCCCUGCCCCCUGGGACACUGGUGCCCGGGUAGAGGGGAUGUUUUCCUUUGUCCACCUGGCACUUCCAGGAUCCAGCCUGGGGCAACAUCGUUGGAAGAGUGUGAUUCCUGCUCCCCCGGAUAUUACUGCCCAGAUCCAGCACAGACAGGGCUGCCGAACACCCAAGGAGUGCCUUGUAAACCUGGCUAUGAAUGCCCACCAGGUUCAGUAAAUCCGAUCCCGUGCAGGCCCGGCUCAUACUGUGGUGCUCGCACAGCCGUGCCUUCCCUGUGCCCAGGUGGCUAUUACUGUCCUGAAGGAUCGUCGACAUACCGUAGCCCUGAGCAGCUGUGUGUGUUUCCCUACUACUGUCCCCCAGGCAGUGCCCGUCCUUUGCUCUGUGAAGGAGGAUACAUGGCACUCAGUUUGCCCGGUCCAAGGGAUUCCUUUGAGAAGUUCUGCAGGAUCUGUGACGCAGGCACCUAUCGCAGUGACUCUCUCAUCACAGCAGCAUGUCAGCCCUGCCCAGCAGGCUUCAUCUGCCCACAGGGUAAAUGGGGCUGUAGUGGAGGAGCAGGCAAGAAACAGCAGCUUAAAUUGCAACCAAAAAGUUUUAGGUUAGCCGCGGGCAAAGCUCUCUAG
rnacentral:lncRNA from 1 species